AUUGAACGCUGGCGGCUUGCUUUACACAUGCAAGUCGAACGGUAACAGGGUGCUUGCACCGCUGACGAGUGGCGAACGGGUGAGUAAUGCGUCGGAACGUGCCGAGUAGUGGGGGAUAACGCAGCGAAAGUUGUGCUAAUACCGCAUACGUACUGAGGUAGAAAGUGGGGGACCUUCGGGCCUCACGCUAUUCGAGCGGCCGACGUCUGAUUAGCUAGUAGGUGAGGUAAAGGCUCACCUAGGCGACGAUCAGUAGCGGGUCUGAGAGGAUGAUCCGCCACACUGGGACUGAGACACGGCCCAGACUCCGACGGGAGGCAGCAGUGGGGAAUUUUGAACAAUGGGCGAAAGCCUGAUCCAGCCAUGCCGCGUGUCUGAAGAAGGCCUUCGGGUUGUAAAGGACUUUUGUCAGGGAGGAAAUCCCUAGUGCUAAUAACACUGGGGGAUGACAGUACCUGAAGAAUAAGCACCGGCUAACUACGUGCCAGCCGCCGCCGUAA
rnacentral:rRNA from 1 species